rnacentral:rRNA from 1 species
AGUGAACGCUGGCGGUAGGCCUAACACAUGCAAGUCGAACGGAAGCACAGUAAGAGCUUGCUCUUACGGGUGGCGAGUGGCGGAAGGGUGAGGAAUACAUCGGAAUCUACUUUUUCGUGGGGGAUAACGUAGGGAAAGUUACGAUAAUACCGCAUACGACCUACGGGUGAAAGGAGGGGAUCUUCGGACCUUGCGCGAUUGAAUGAGCCGAUGUCGGAUUAGCUAGUUGGCGGGGUAAAGGCCCACCAAGGCGACGAUCCGUAGCUGGUCUGGGAGGCUGGUCCGCCACACUGGAACUGAGACACGGUCCAGAGUCCUACGGGAGGCAGCAGUGUGGAAUAUUGGACAAUGGGGGCAAGCCUGAUCCAGCCAUCGCGCGUGGGUGAAGAAGGCCUUCCGGUUGUAAAGCCCUUUUGUUGGGAAAGAAAAGCAGCAGGUUAAUACCCCGCUGUUCUGACGGUACCCAAAGAAUAAGCACCGGCUAACUUCGUG